rnacentral:rRNA from 1 species
CCGAGAUAUGGGAGAUAGCCGGCCUAACGGCCGAGUAAUACCGCAUACGCUCUCGAUGAGGCAUUUCAUUGAGAGGAAACCUCCGGGGUAUUUCGAGGGGCUCGCGGCCUAUCAGCUAGUUGGCGAGGUAACGGCUCACCAAGGCAACGACGGGUAGCUGGUCUGAGAGGAUGGCCAGCCACAUUGGGACUGAGAUACGGCCCAGACUCCUACGGGAGGCAGCAGUGGGGAAUCUUGCGCAAUGGCCUAACGGCUGACGCAGCGACGCCGCGUGUGGGAUGAAGCUCUUCGGAGUGUAAACCACUGUUGCCCGGGACGAAUAGCUCGAUUUCUCGAGCCUGACAGUACCGGGUGAGGAAGCACCGGCUAACUCCGUGCCAGCAGCCGCGGUAAUACGGGGGGUGCGAGCGUUGUCCGGAAUCACUGGGCGUAAAGGGCGCGUAGGUGGUUUGAUAAGGGUGUGGUGAAAGUCCGGGGCUCAACCCCGGAUCUGCCGUGCCGACUGUCAAACUCGAGGACUGUAGAGGCAGACGGAAUUCCGGGUGUAGCGGUGGAAUGCGUAGAGAUCCGGAGGAAGACCGGUGGCGAAGGCGGUCUGCUGGGCAGUUUCUGACACUGAGGCGCGACAGCGUGGGGAGCAAACAGGAUUAGAUACCCUGGUAGUCCACGCCGUAAACGAUGGGUACUAGGUGCCUGGGGGAGCGACCCUCUGGGUGCCGGCGCUAACGCAGGAAGUAC